AUUGAACGCUGGCGGCAGGCCUAACACAUGCAAGUCGAGCGGAUGAAGGGAGCUUGCUCCUGGAUUCAGCGGCGGACGGGUGAGUAAUGCCUAGGAAUCUGCCUGGUAGUGGGGGAUAACGUCCGGAAACGGGCGCUAAUACCGCAUACGUCCUGAGGGAGAAAGUGGGGGAUCUUCGGACCUCACGCUAUCAGAUGAGCCUAGGUCGGAUUAGCUAGUUGGUGGGGUAAAGGCCUACCAAGGCGACGAUCCGUAACUGGUCUGAGAAGAUGAUCAGUCACACUGGAACUGAGACACGGUCCAGACUCCUACGGGAGGCAGCAGUGGGGAAUAUUGGACAAUGGGCGAAAGCCUGAUCCAGCCAUGCCGCGUGUGUGAAGAAGGUCUUCGGAUUGUAAAGCACUUUAAGUUGGGAGGAAGGGCAGUAAGUUAAUACCUUGCUGUUUUGACGUUACUAACAGAAUAAGCACCGGCUAACUUCGUG
rnacentral:rRNA from 1 species